rnacentral:tRNA from 1 species
AUAUAGCUCAAUGGUAGAGCUUGUGCUUAGCAUGCACCAAGCACUGGGUUCAAUCCCCAGUGU